GACGAACGCUGGCGGCGUGCCUAAUACAUGCAAGUAGGACGCAGUUGCGAACGGGUGAGUAACGCGUAGGUAACUGCCUAUUAGAGGGGGAUAACUAUUGGAAACGAUAGCUAAUACCGCAUACUAGUAGAUGGACCUGCGUUGUAUUAGCUAGUAGGUAGGGUAAUGGCCUACCUAGGCAACGAUACAUAGCCUAACUGGAAGGGGGAGUGGCCACAUGGGGACUGAGAAACGGCCCAGACUCCGACGGGAGGCAGCAGUAGGGGAUCUGCGGCAAUGGGGGGAAGCCUGACCGAGCAACGCCCCGUGAGUUAAGAAGGUUUUCGGAUCGGAAAGCUCUGUUGUUAAGGAAGCGGUACUUAACCAGAAAGGGACGGCUAACUACGUGCCAGCAGCCGCGGUAAUUC
rnacentral:rRNA from 1 species